rnacentral:rRNA from 1 species
UACGUAGGGUGCGAGCGUUGUCCGGAAUUACUGGGCGUAAAGGGCGCGUAGGCGGUCAGGUCAGUCCCGUGUGAAAUCCCUCGGCUCAACUGAGGAACUGCACGGGAAACUGCCUGGCUUGAGUUCGGGAGAGGGAAGCGGAAUUCCGGGUGUAGCGGUGAAAUGCGUAGAUAUCCGGAGGAACACCGGUGGCGAAGGCGGCUUCCUGGACCGACACUGACGCUGAUGCGCGAAAGCGUGGGGAUCAAACAGG